GUGCUCUCUUUGGUAACACAUAUACUAAAAUUGAAAUGAUACAGAGAUUAGCAUGGCCCCUG
rnacentral:snRNA from 1 species